GACGAACGCUGGCGGCGUGCUUAACACAUGCAAGUCGAACGGAAAGGCCCUGCUUUUGUGGGGUGCUCGAGUGGCGAACGGGUGAGUAACACGUGAGUAACCUGCCCUUGACUUUGGGAUAACAUCAGGAAACUGGGGCUAAUACCGGAUAGGAGCUCCUGCUGCAUGGUGGGGGUUGGAAAGUUUCGGCGGUUGGGGAUGGACUCGCGGCUUAUCAGCUUGAUGGUGGGGUAGUGGCUUACCAAGGCUUUGACGGGUAGCCGGCCUGAGAGGGUGACCGGCCACAUUGGGACUGAGAUACGGCCCAGACUCCUACGGGAGGCAGCAGUGGGGAAUAUUGCACAAUGGGCGGAAGCCUGAUGCAGCAACGCCGCGUGCGGGAUGACGGCCUUCGGGUUGUAAACCGCUUUCGACUGUGACGAAGCGUGAGUGACGGUAAUGGGUAAAGAAGCACCGGCUAACUACGUG
rnacentral:rRNA from 1 species